rnacentral:sRNA from 1 species
ACUUCCUGAGGCCGGAACGAAAAGUUUUAUCGGAAUGCGUGUUCUGGUGGGCUUUUGGCUUACGGUUGUGAUGUUGUGUUGUUGUGUUUGCAAUUGGUCUGCGAUUCAGACCAUGGUAGCAAAGCUACCCUUUUUCACUUCCUGUACA